UCGGGAAUAUUGCGCAAUGGAGGAAACUCUGACGCAGUGACGCCGCGUAUAGGAAGAAGGUUUUCGGAUUGUAAACUAUUUUAGUCAGGGAAGAAAAAAGACAGUACCUGAAGAAUAAGCUCCGGCUAACUACGUGCCAGCAGCCGCGGUAAUACGUAGGGAGCAAGCGUUAUCCGGAAUUAUUGGGUGUAAAGGGUGCGUAGACGGGUACGCAAGUUAGUUGUGAAAUCCCUCGGCUUAACUGAGGAACUGCAACUAAAACUGCGAAUCUUGAGUGCAGGAGAGGAAAGUGGAAUUCCUAGUGUAGCGGUGAAAUGCGUAGAUAUUAGGAGGAACACCAGUGGCGAAGGCGGCUUUCUGGACUGUAACUGACGUUGAGGCACGAAAGUGUGGGGAGCAAACA
rnacentral:rRNA from 1 species